rnacentral:misc_RNA from 1 species
CAGGCCUUCACCGUGCAGCAAGGCCAAAAAGUGGACGACAUGCCGGCCGAGAGAACGGCCACGCUACCUCUGACGGAGGCAGAGGCAGCGCUGGCGACGCCGACCGCGUCUUGCUCACAGGCACAGUCCACUGGAACGCCUGAGGCCACCCCAGCUGCAUUGCCAUCGCCGAGGACGACAGCAACCAUCUCACAAAGGGAAGGCUCGGCCAAAGACUCGGGAACACCCGUAACUGCCGCGGCGCCCCGCACCACGCGCCUCUUGAAGGAUGUCGAGGCCGAGGAGAAUCGCUACCUCUAUGAAACUCUCUACAAGUCGCUCGAUGAAACCGCUGACACGGCCAUCCGCGACGAGCUCACUGUCGGCGACACUGUUCGCUUCGCCCGCGACGCCAAACGAGAGUUCAUCACGGCUGCGACGAUGCCGCUGGGCGAAAAAGCGAAGAACUGCUCCGCGCUCGCGCGCAGAUUCUCACAAAAGAAGAACCAGAAGGUAGCCUACGUGUUCAUUGUGUUCAGCGUGCUCAUGAUGACAAUGCCGGUGAUAGGCCUUCUUAUUGGCAUGAGACUGAUUGCCCCGCGGCUUGAUAUGGACCCGACACUGUGUGGGGGUGGUUUGGCUGUGUUCACAGCGAUAUCGCUUACGGGUUCCUACGUGGUGUACGCCAUGAUGGAGGAAGCGCAGUGCGGCAAGCAGAAUGCAAGCGAGACCGAGAGUAAGAAGGAACGCUGACCACACGGCUUUCCCCUCACGGAAACCCCUGCAUGCCGUGCUGCGGUCGCUGGGUAUGGUGAUCGGUGUUUUUCGUCUUGCCGCUCGGAAAUCCGGAUCGCGUGUGCACCUCGCGCGAUUCGAAGCGUUUCACUGAAUUCUAAGUCAUCUUGGUUUGCAAAGGGAAAAAAUCCGAACAUAACAGCCGCAAGGGUUACAAUGGGCGAGAAAAAAAACCGAAUCUGCGUCUAGUGGACGGUGAGGGGAGUCAGAGGCGAAGCAGCUAGUGUGUGUGCCACAGCGAGAGCGGUGUAUCUUGAUGAAUCUCCUUGAUUCUCCUUAUUCCUCAUCUUUGGAUGACAGCCAUCUUGCCGAUGUACUCGCGCUUGCGGUUUACCAUGCCCGAUGCUUGGAUAUUCCAUUGCGUGCAGGGGCACGGACACGCACGCCUUACUCUUAGCGCUUUUUAUUUUCCUUGCCUUGCCAGCCCUCUUUCUCCAACAUUCUCCUUCUCUCUGCGCAUUUCUCGAUUUUCCGCCUCCCCUACUCUUCACGUCGCCGGCACGCACGACUGGCCUCUGCGUGGGAGUGCGUGUGUGAGUGCCAUUCUAACGUUAG